rnacentral:rRNA from 1 species
AGGGCACCACCAGGAGUGGAGCCUGCGGCUUAAUUUGACUCAACACGGGAAAACUCACCCGGCCCGGACACUGGAAGGAUUGACAGAUUGAGAGCUCUUUCUUGAUUCAGUGGGUGGUGGUGCAUGGCCGUUCUUAGUUGGUGGAGUGAUUUGUCUGGUUAAUUCCGGUAACGAACGAGACUCUAGCCUACUAAAUAGGUCGUCGGCUUACAAACGCCGGCGAGACUUCUUAGAGGGACAGGCGGUGAUUCAACCGCACGAAACAGAGCAAUAACAGGUCUGUGAUGCCCUUAGAUGUCCGGGGCCGCACGCGCGCUACACUGAAGUGAUCAGCGUGCUUUUUCAACCUACUCUGUCAAGAGUGGGGAACCCAAUGAACCUUCUUCGUGAUUGGGAUAGGGGAUUGUAAUUAUUCCCCUUGAACGAGGAAUUCCCAGUAAGCGCGAGUCAUAAGCUCGCGUUGAUUACGUCCCUGCCCUUUGUACACACCGCCCGUCGCUACUACCGAUUGAAUGUUUU